AUACCUUUCCCGGCUUUUUGGUUAAGAUCAAGUGUAGUAUCUUUUUUUAUCAGUUUAAUAUUUGAUAUGUGGACCAAUGGUCUACAUGAUAUUGAUAUUAAGGAUGUGUU
rfam:Morus notabilis contig17507, whole genome shotgun sequence.